rnacentral:tRNA from 1 species
AGGGCCCCAGUAACUGAUACAUUAAUUUUAGGUAUUCAAAGACAGGCACUGGCGCCAGCGUCUUUA